rnacentral:rRNA from 1 species
AGAGUUUGAUCCUGGCUCAGGAUGAACGCUGGCGGCGUGCCUAAUACAUGCAAGUCGAGCGAACAGACGAGGAGCUUGCUCCUCUGACGUUAGCGGCGGACGGGUGAGUAACACGUGGAUAACCUACCUAUAAGACUGGGAUAACUUCGGGAAACCGGAGCUAAUACCGGAUAAUAUAUUGAACCGCAUGGUUCAAUAGUGAAAGACGGUUUUGCUGUCACUUAUAGAUGGAUCCGCGCCGCAUUAGCUAGUUGGUAAGGUAACGGCUUACCAAGGCAACGAUGCGUAGCCGACCUGAGAGGGUGAUCGGCCACACUGGAACUGAGACACGGUCCAGACUCCUACGGGAGGCAGCAGUAGGGAAUCUUCCGCAAUGGGCGAAAGCCUGACGGAGCAACGCCGCGUGAGUGAUGAAGGUCUUCGGAUCGUAAAACUCUGUUAUUAGGGAAGAACAAAUGUGUAAGUAACUAUGCACGUCUUGACGGUACCUAAUCAGAAAGCCACGGCUAACUACGUGCCAGCAGCCGCGGUAAUACGUAGGUGGCAAGCGUUAUCCGGAAUUAUUGGGCGUAAAGCGCGCGUAGGCGGUUUUUUAAGUCUGAUGUGAAAGCCCACGGCUCAACCGUGGAGGGUCAUUGGAAACUGGAAAACUUGAGUGCAGAAGAGGAAAGUGGAAUUCCAUGUGUAGCGGUGAAAUGCGCAGAGAUAUGGAGGAACACCAGUGGCGAAGGCGACUUUCUGGUCUGUAACUGACGCUGAUGUGCGAAAGCGUGGGGAUCAAACAGGAUUAGAUACCCUGGUAGUCCACGCCGUAAACGAUGAGUGCUAAGUGUUAGGGGGUUUCCGCCCCUUAGUGCUGCAGCUAACGCAUUAAGCACUCCGCCUGGGGAGUACGACCGCAAGGUUGAAACUCAAAGGAAUUGACGGGGGCCCG